UACGAAGGGGGCUAGCGUUGUUCGGAAUCACUGGGCGUAAAGCGCACGUAGGCGGAUCUUUAAGUCAGGGGUGAAAUCCCGAGGCUCAACCUCGGAACUGCCUUUGAUACUGGGGAUCUCGAGUCCGGGAGAGGUGAGUGGAACUGCGAGUGUAGAGGUGAAAUUCGUAGAUAUUCGCAAGAACACCAGUGGCGAAGGCGGCUCACUGGACCGGAACUGACGCUGAGGCGCGAAAGCGUGGGGAGCAAACAGG
rnacentral:rRNA from 1 species